rnacentral:rRNA from 1 species
UUUUAUGGAGAGUUUGAUCCUGGCUCAGGAUGAACGCUGGCGGCGUGCCUAAUACAUGCAAGUCGAGCGAACGGACGAGAAGCUUGCUUCUCUGAUGUUAGCGGCGGACGGGUGAGUAACACGUGGAUAACCUACCUAUAAGACUGGGAUAACUUCGGGAAACCGGAGCUAAUACCGGAUAAUAUUUUGAACCGCAUGGUUCAAAAGUGAAAGACGGUCUUGCUGUCACUUAUAGAUGGAUCCGCGCUGCAUUAGCUAGUUGGUAAGGUAACGGCUUACCAAGGCAACGAUGCAUAGCCGACCUGAGAGGGUGAUCGGCCACACUGGAACUGAGACACGGUCCAGACUCCUACGGGAGGCAGCAGUAGGGAAUCUCCGCAAUGGGCGAAAGCCUGACGGAGCAACGCCGCGUGAAGA